GGGGGUAUAGCUCAGUGGUAGAGCAUUUGUCUGCAGACCAAGUGGUCCCUGGUUCAAAUUUAGGUGCCCCCU
rnacentral:tRNA from 1 species